rnacentral:rRNA from 1 species
UACGGAGGGGGCGAGCGUUGUCCGAAGUUACUGGGCGUAAAGCGCGCGUAGGCGGGUUGGUGAGUCCGCUGUGAAAGCCCGGGGCUCAACCCCGGGUCUGCCGGACCGACUGCCGAGCUUGAGCACACUAGGGGCAGGUGGAAUUCCGGGUGUAGCGGUGGAAUGCGUAGAGAUCCGGAAGAACACCGGUGGCGAAGGCGGCCUGCCGGGGUGUGGCUGACGCUGAGGCGCGACAGCGUGGGGAGCAAACAGG